ACCCUUUAACGUUUGAUGUUCUAACCCAGACCCGUAAUCCGGGUCGGGGACCGUGUCUGGUGGGUAGUUUGACUGGGGCGGUCUCCUCCCAAAGAGUAACGGAGGAGCACGAAGGUUGGCUAAGCAUGGUCGGACAUCAUGCGGUUAGUGCAAAGGCAUAAGCCAGCUUGACUGCGAGAGUGACGGCUCGAGCAGGUACGAAAGUAGGUCUUAGUGAUCCGGUGGUUCUGAAUGGAAGGGCCAUCGCUCAACGGAUAAAAGGUACUCCGGGGAUAACAGGCUGAUACCGCCCAAGAGUUCAUAUCGACGGCGGUGUUUGGCACCUCGAUGUCGGCUCAUCACAUCCUGGGGCUGAAGUAGGUCCCAAGGGUAUGGCUGUUCGCCAUUUAAAGUGGUACGCGAGCUGGGUUUAGAACGUCGUGAGACAGUUCGGUCCCUAUCUGCCGUGGGCGCUGGAAGAUUGAGAGGGGUUGCUCCUAGUACGAGAGGACCGGAGUGAACGCACCACUGGUGUACGGGUUGUGAUGCCAAUUGCAUUGCCCGGUAGCUAAGUGCGGAAGAGAUAACCGCUGAAAGCAUCUAAGCGGGAAACUUGCCUCGAGAUGAGUCUUCCCUGACCCUUUAAGGGUCCUGAAGGAACGUUUGAGACUAAGACGUUGAUAGGCUGGGUGUGUA
rnacentral:rRNA from 1 species